AGAGUUUGAUCAUGGCUCAGAAUGAACGCUGGCGGCGUGCCUAACACAUGCAAGUCGAGCGAGAAAUCACACUUCGGUGUGAGAGUAGAGCGGCGCACGGGUGAGUAACGCGUGGAUAAUCUACCCAUGGAUUGGGGAUAACCCUGCGAAAGCGGGGCUAAUACCUGAUAGUCUGGUCAUUAUAUAGAUGAUCGGUAAAGGUGGCCUCUGAUACAAGCUACUGUCCGUGGAUGAGUCCGCGUCUCAUUAGCUGGUUGGUGGGGUAAUGGCCUACCAAGGCGACGAUGAGUAGCUGGUCUGAGAGGAUGAUCAGCCACACUGGGACUGGAACACGGCCCAGACUCCUACGGGAGGCAGCAGUGGGGAAUAUUGGGCAAUGGGCGCAAGCCUGACCCAGCAACGCCGUGUGAGGGAAGAAGGUUUUCGGAUCGUAAACCUCUGUCAGAAGGGAAGAAGUG
rnacentral:rRNA from 1 species